rnacentral:lncRNA from 10 species
GGGAAAUAGAGGGAAAGGUUUUAAGGGCUAUAUGUCUGCUGUAUCCACUCCCAGCUAUCUUCUUUUUACUCCUUUCUCACCAUCUAAGAUGUCUUAUUUAAAUAGCUCCAAGGAAGUGACCUAAACCUUGAUGAGCAAAAUAUUACUCAGUUUUUAUUUUCCAUUCAACAAAAGCAGUGGGAAAGCUUGCCAUCUGGAUUCUAAGAAAUUGUGCAAUAUAAAAAAUGUUAUAUCCUCGAGAAAUAUCUUGCUGAGUCACCCUAGGAAAUAACUACCUUUUAUUUAUCUGGUAGCCUAAUGUUUCCACACAUUUAUCCUGAAUAUUGCAAGUGAGGGACUGAAUCAUUUUUAAUUGGGAGUUAUCUUUCUCAGGCAUGUUCUCUUGGAGUCUUUUUGAAGUGCCUGACACGUGUAACAGGAUGACAUAUAUAUCAUUCCUACAAUAUGAACAACUGUUACAUAAAAAAUUAUCAAGGAGAUGAUUUCAGGAAACAAGUGAACUUUCUGCAAAGACUUAUAAAAAUUUUAGGUCAAAUUAACUUCAGGCUUUAAAUGCACUAAUCUACCUAAGAGAAAAAAAAAGAAAAAAAACAGGAAGGAGUUUUAAGGGCUCAUGUGCCUGUUGUAUCAACCCCCAAGUGUCUUCUUGGUACUGCUUCCUCAUCAUCUAAGAUAAACUGACAACUUUAAAGUGAGGUAGAAGGUGUAUUGAAUUGGGAGUCAGGAGAAUUGGGUUCUAACCCCAAGUUCAGCCACAAAUAAAGCUGUGAGACAUUGGCAAGUCAUUUAACUUUCCUGAGUCUUGGUUUUCUCAUCCUGAAAGUGAGGGAUUCGGCUGACGUCUCUAAAAUCUCUUUCAACUCUAACCUUUAUUCUGAAUAAGAAUUUAAUAUUCACUUAGUGCUGUGCCCAGCACUGUUUGUAAACAGCAGCUGUUUGUUAUCUCUAGUUUGGUCUCUGUAUUCUCAUCACUUCUCAGAACUAUCAUUCUACCGUCUUCAUUUCUAAACCCAAAACUGCUAGAAUACAGGGACUCUGGACUGGGUCUGUAAAUUUUUUCUGAUCAAAACUUUAUAGCAGUGUAGAGAAGGGACACAUUCAAAUUACACUAAGGACAUUGACAUAGCUGGGGUUGUUUCCUUGUUUAUAUUAUAAAACCUAAAUGUGGAACUAUAUUCUAAUAAUCUUUCAUAGGAAGGAAAAUAGCCAGACUGGGUAUUAUGCAUGUAACAAAUGAGGACAUUGUGCAUAAGAAAGGAAACAUUAGUUUUCUGUCAUCCUGGGCCAAGUACCUCAUUACAGUAAAUGUGUGUCUUUGGAAACUCUUUGCUUGUGCUGAUGGCGGUAAGCAUGGGGUCCCAGGCAGGUUCAAAGGCUGAACUGUAAGAAAUGGGCAAGACAAUACAUUUUGUUUUGGAAGGAAUUUCUCAUGGGAUAAGUUUCCCAAAGCUUGAAUUAUAGGCUAUGAAAUAAAGCAAAUAGAUGGAGAGAAAACAAGUAUUGUUUUCAAAAAGUACAAGUCAAUUCUAUUUAAAGAAGACAAGCUGAAAAUAAAACAAAAAUAAACACAAUUUAGGAGGUUACAGAGUUGAAGACAGUAUGAAUUGUUGUGAAGGCCAAAAUCAAAUGUGAAAGUUAGGUUCUCUGAGAAAAGGGUAAGCAGAAAGGAUGAUUUCUCAAGCAAUUAAUAAGGAAUUAUUUUCUUGUGCCAUGUUCUAGAUGCAUUGAGCACAGAUCCUCUUGUCCUAAGCUGUCCUAGAGGCUCAGGUUAGCAUCUAUCCAAAGUUGUCCUUUGAUUUUAUUGUCUGAAAGAACAGAAGGCAUCAGAGUUUCCAGUCACUGAAGAGUAGGGUUUGUUCAUCACUUCCCAGCAAUCACAUCACUUUGUGUAGGUAAGGAUAUAUGAUGUGCUUAGAUUACUUAUGAAGCUCUCUCUAAGUGGGAGAAUGACCUGUCCAUGGGACAACUCCCCGUUUUCAUGGUCAUUUCAGAAGUACCUCUUUUUGGGCAGUGCUCCUGGAUCUACUUCUACAGCCACAUUCUACUCUGCACAAUCCUCCCUAUGUAAAGCCAGGCACAGUACAAAUAUGCUUCUUGCAAGUGAAGAAAACCCAUGGAAGUCCUAGCUUCAUGGCACGCUGCAGCAAUCCCAAGCUACCAGGAGCCUCUUUUGAACCCACUUCCCUAAGUCUUUGCUCUUCACCAGAGAAUGGAAAUUGUUCAUCCUGGUGAACUGUGGCCAAGUUCUGCUCCCUAAGUAUUUACUUGGAGUAGGGAGGUUAAAGGGAAGAAAUUCAGGGGGAGAGAAGCAAAAGAGAACACUUCCAACUCCCUCCCCCAUCUCCCAAUGCUCCCCACCUUCCUUAUCACUGCUCUACUGAAGGGUGUAUAAAUCCUGCUCUUGGUUAGAAUUCUCCUUAUUAACAGUGUUAUAUACAUAUAAAUAUAUAUAUAAAUAUAUUCCUUUUUUCAGCCCUGUAGACAUGAACUGAUCUUCCCUUGAAGAUACAAACACAUGGCCAUUUUUUGUUUGGGAUUUUUUGUUUUUCAAGGUUUUUCAUUUUUGUUUAUUAGGUGGAUUUUUUUCCCUGGGUACUAGCUCUGUGAAGGAGAUAAAAAGCGCAAUGUGUGUUAAAAAAAAAAAAUUAAAAUUAAAAUGAAAAAAAGCUUUUUUUCUUUUCUUUUUAAAUGUAUUUAAAUUCUGUUUCUCUCUUCUGUUACUUUACACGUAUGAAUGCUCUGCUCUUCUGUGAUCUUAAAACAAAAUGAAAUAAACGUGAAAAGGAGAUGUGUCUUC